rnacentral:lncRNA from 1 species
CGCCACGGGGCACCAUCCCCGGCUCGGCCUCACGGUGGCGGUGCGGGCGCGGCGGGGACACCGAGCAAGAGACCGGGUCUGCGCCCGCCGCGAUCCCUGCGCACCACGGCCCUGCCCGCCACGGGGCGAGCCCGAUAAGAGGGCUGUGGACGUUCGGGUCUAGUUGGGAGAGACAGGGGUCCCUGACUCUUGAGCGGUCAGUCAUUUCCUCCCCAGUCCUUGUGGGUGACGUGGCUACGGUUUGGAGCAGCAAGCCCCCUCCCCGAACUAAAGGGCCUCUCCAAAGGUUAAGCCAGGGCAGUCAUUGAGGUCAAAACCAAUAUGUAGUUUCUUGACUGCAGGUGCCUGCACGACUCCCAGAAAGUCGCGUCUCCCCUAACCCCCAUGCCCAGGACCUGAGGACAAAGGUCUAGCGAUUGUCCAUCCCCUCCCCCAGUGAGGACAGCCGGGAAAGACCUGCCUUUGUUGUGUACAGGUGGUAUCUCACUGUGUUAUCCAGACUGGACUCAAAUUUCUGGGCUCCAAU